rnacentral:tRNA from 1 species
GAGGGUAUAGCUCAAGUAGUAGAGUACAUGCUUAGCAUGUGUUUGAGGUCCUGGGUUCAAUCCCCAGUACCUCUA